rnacentral:sRNA from 2 species
GCCAACCUAUCUACCGCUGCCAACCUACCUAUCGCUGCCAAUCUAUCUACCACUGCUAAUCUAUCGCUGCUAAUCUAUCGCUGCCAACCUACCUACCGCUGCCAACCUAUCUACCACUGCCAAUCUACCUACCGCUGCCAACCUACCUACCACUGCUAAUCUAUCACUGCUAAUCUAUCGCUGCUAAUCUAUUGCUGCUAAUCUAUCGCUGCUAAUCUAUUGCUGCUAAUCUAUCUAUCACUGCUAAUCUAUGCUAAUCUAUCGCUGCCAACCUACCUACCGCUGCCAACCUAUCUACCACUGCCAAUCUACCUACCGCUGCCAACCUACCUACCACUGCUAAUCUAUCACUGCUAAUCUAUCGCUGCUAAUCUAUUGCUGCUAAUCUAUCGCUGCUAAUCUAUUGCUGCUAAUCUAUCUAUCACUGCUAAUCUAUCGCUGCCAACCUACCUACCGCUGCCAACCUACCUACCGCUGCCAACCUACCUACCACUGCUAAUCUAUCACUGCUAAUCUAUCGCUGCCAACCUAUAUAGGGUAAAUCAUGGUCCCAUUUGGUCCCAUUUUGUAAAAUGGGACCAAAUGGGACUGGGACCACUAAUUUAUUAGUAAAACAUGAUCUGGGACUAGAUUUAUAAUAUAAACAGUGUAAAGUGACUAAUUUACUAAACACUAUAUGGGACCA